rnacentral:lncRNA from 1 species
UAAGCCUUUCAUUUUUAUACAAAUACUGCAUUUCUAAAAGAGAAGAAACUCAGAUCUGGCAGAAAGUUUGGUGGUCACCUGACCUUCCUGCUAAUGCUGCCUCAAUUGUCCCCUCAUGAUUGAGCCCAAAUGACCUAGCCUAGUGCACCAGGCCCCUCUUGAGCCCUGCUUAGUUCUCCAGCCUCAACAUUCCAUUCUUCACUCCGGCCAAGGAGCUGAAUUACCUGAUUAUUCCCUGAAGUCACCUUGACACCAAGGUGCUCCUAGCAGGAUAAUAAUUUUGUAUCUUUCAAAUGGAUAUUCUUUAGUUAUUUUGUACUUACUUGGUAAAAUAUGUCUGGACACCAAUUUUCUAUUAAUACAAACUACAGAACUCUUUUUUAUGUAUAAUAAAAAGAUUUUAUCAUGUAUAAUUUUCAAAAUCAGACAGCUUACAGGGAGGUAUAUUAAUGGGUUGUAAAUUUAGAGAAUAAAAAAUAAGUGACAUUGUGUUUGUUAUUGUUUUCAGAAAUUCAGCCCAUCAGAUUGCGAACUUCAAGUGCCUGCUGGCUGGCUAGAGUAAGAGAGGUGAUGUGACCCAUAGCUGCCCCAGGAGAAAGGCUCUACUAAAAGGCCAACUGAAAUCCAAAAAGAACUACUUCAGUAACUCUCCAUGGGAUAUAGAGGAGAAAGGCACUGGAGGCUUCGGUGCCAGCAGUUUAAAGACUGACUGGAGAGAGGGCGGAGGUGGAGCAAGAUGGCUGAAUAGAACCCCCCCCGAGAUAGUUCUCCACACAGGAACACCAAAUAGAACAACUAUCCACGCAAGACAGCACCUUCAUAAAAGCCAUAAAAUCAGAGCUGGAGCAAGACUGGCUGAAAUGACCACCAGGCAGAUGGCAGAUUGGGAAGACAAACUGAAAAGGUGAGAGGUGGAAAGAGUCAGAGAAUAACUGGAUAAGCCACAUUCUGGGAAAUACAGUGGUUCAAAUCCACCGUGGAUAAAUUUGUAUUUGAAGAUUGAAUGGUAACUGGGAAAAAUAGAGAAGGAAGCCAUUGCUUAAACUAUGCUUGAAAGUCACCAAAGCAGUGGGUUGGAAUAGCAUGUCCCAAAAGGCCACUUCACAUCCUAAAUAAUAAUGGAAUAGGAUAGGAUUUCAGAUAAGGAAGUAGGGAGGAAGUGGAAAAUAAUAAGGCUAAGAGAAAAUCCAGUGUUAAUAAUGGAAUUUAGUUAAGCAUAUUUUCCUUAGAGGAAUCAAAAGGAAACAACAUACAAGGAGGAGAUGCUCACUCUCCCUUUAUCUCUCACAGUUUUAUAACCUCACCUGAAUCUGUUCUUUCUGUACCCUAGACCUUCUAAUGAAUCAAGCUCAGCUCAUUAACCACCUUCUUUGGUUCCACUGAGCCACGCUUUUUCAGACAAUGUUGCUUUUUGUUCAGCAUAAGUUCCUUCAUCUAAUUCUAAUACCUGUUACUCAUCCAGUGGCUAAAUGUGGUAGCCAGACUCCAAGAUGGCUCCCAGUGGUCCUUACCUCCCUCGUAUUCAUGCCUCUGUGUGGUCCCUUCCCACACUGUAUCACACCGAUUCAUCUGACCAAUAGAAUACAGCAAAAGUGAAGAUGUGUGACUUCUGAGGUUAGGUCAUACAAGACAUUGCUGUUUCUGCCUUUUUCUCUCUUGAACGGCCUGUUCUAGGGGAAGCCCCCAUGUAGUGAGCACACUCAGGAAGCCUAUGGAGAAGCCCACGUAGAAAGGAACCACGGCCUCCCGCCCAGAGCCAUGUGAAGUGAAUCCUCCAGCCCUAGUCAUGCCUUUAGGUGGCUGCAGCCCAGCUGUCAUCUUGACUGCAACCUCAUAAGAGAACCUAACCCAGAAUUACCUAGCUAAGCCAUUCCUGAAUUCCUGCCCAUAGGAACUGGGCAGAUAAUUAAGGUGUGUUGUUAUCUUACGUCAUUAAGUUUGGGGGAAUUUAUUACAUAGCAAUAGUAAUUUUACACUAGAUUAGCUGUUUUUCUAAAAAUAUAACUUUCAUCAAAG